ensembl:lincRNA D130017N08Rik RIKEN cDNA D130017N08 gene
GGACAGCACCGGCCUCUGGGAGUUCAGAUACAGUGAUGCUUCAGAAACUGUGGACCCUCGGACCCAGCCCCUGUUAAUGUUGAAGGACCAGGAAAUAUGAAUCUAGGUAGCAGCUGAGGCUCUAGCUAAGGACCAUGCAAAGCGUGUUGGAGAAUGUGUUUCCAGCUCACCUAAGUAAAAAAAAAAAGACUACCCGACCCGACCGCACAGAUUCGCAGUCGAGUUGAAAUCGAUCUGAAAAAAAGAAUUGGUGCGCGUUAAUUUAAACAAAUCUCCUAAGAUCCAAGGCUACAGGAUCCGAGCUCACCAAAGAUCACAACACGGGGUAUGAGUUCCCGAGAGCCUGCUGUAAAUACGCCAGCUAUUUAAUCUCACUUGGAACCUGCAAGUUAGGUAACAUCCAGAUCUCCUUCCCAAAUGAAGGGCCGUGGCACAGGUGUCCUUGGAUGACCUGAAACUCACAUGGACAGGCCUGGCUUUGGACUCCUGGACAGACAGACAUACUGCCUCAGCUUCCAGAGUGUUGGGAUGAUAGGCAUGUGCUACCAUGCAGAGCUCUGCUUUGUAUUUUGAGACAGGGUCUCACUUUGUAACCCAUCUUGAGUUACAGCAAGCCUCCUGCCCUGGCCUCUAGAGUGCUGGGUUUUCAGGUGUAUAUAACCACACUCAGUUUACUUUCUGUAUGUUAGGAUGGUUUGGUAUUUCCCAAAGUUUGAAGGCUUGGGGGAAGUUUAUGCUCUUAGGGUAAGUCAUUGUUUGGAGCCUCAAAACGUUCUCUACCAGGGGCGUGGCUAUCUUGAACAAACUAACCAGUCCUGAGUCUGUAUUCCUGACAACUUCCUGAUUUAAGUCUCACACUCAAACCAUUUUUUCUCUUCUCCUAACUCACCCAGAGCCAGGUAUCAGGCGACAAGCCACCACUUGUGUAUCCAAACCCUCUGAACUGUUCCAGUUUGCCAUUGUUUGCCUGCCCAAGUUUUCCUCUCCCUUAGGAAUGGCAGCAAAGGCUCCACCUCAGACUUACCUCCACAUUCUGCGUCUUUGUUUUAAGAGCUUGGGCUACUCUGCAACUUUCCACGUAGCCUACUGACCUUGAACUUGUGAUUCUCCUGCGUCAGGCUCCUGAGUGCUGAGAUUGCACGUGCACAUCUGCACACUGAGCCUCCUCCCAUCAACCUGUGUUCUACUGCAUCAGACAGACUUGGUGCUCACCCUUGGCCCUGCCUAGCCAUGGGGCACCCCCUUCUCUGGGUAGGAUCUGUGGCAGUAGAACCAUCUCCCAAGUUUCCUUCUGGUCCCCUCCCAGGGCUAUUACCAUCCCACCUUCAAUCCCAUCCUUAGCAAGUACAGGUGUCUAGGAAAGUGGCAUGAGGACACACAGAUGAUAAGCCAAAAGUCUUAACUCACCUCAAGAAAUAGAUGAAAGAAACUCGGAGACUAUUGGGAAUUCUCCUCUUUGAGUUAUGAUCCUCUUAGUGGAGGAUGGGGGCGGGGGGCUGGCAACAGACUUGACCACAGGAGUCAGAGGUUCUAGGACCUGGUGACUUAGUUACUAUCUGUCACACCAAUAGGCCUUCUAGAAAAAAAGAUAAGGGGUUGUUAUUUAAAAAGGAUACAAGGGGCCAGAAGGAUGGCUCAGUGGGUAAACUGUGAUGACUCAAGUUCUGUCCCCAGGACCCAUACGUUAGAACAAGUUGACUCCUCCAUGUGUCCUCUGAUCUCCAUGUGCACUGAGGCUUGCACACCCUCUGCCAGCACACAGAAAAGAACGUGAUAAAACAUUCAUAGAAAAGGCAUUAGGACCGAGGAACAAAAAGCAACUGCAGAGUGCUACCAGUCUAGUGUGCAGAAAACGAUGCCUUCCUUCUGCCAGAACACAUAAAGGCAGCCCAGGCUCAGUCCUGCACUCCUGAGGGUGGGGUAGCUGGACCAGGAGUUUUCUUCUCUGGGGACAUAGUCCUUUGUUUGUUUGUUUGGGUUUUUGUUUUGUUUUGUUUUGUUUUUUCAAGACAGGGUUUCUCUGUGUAGCCCUGGCUGUCCUGGAACUCACUCCGUAGACCAGGCUGGCCUCGAACUCAGAAAUCCGCCUGCCUCUGCCUCCCGAGUGCUGGGAUUAAAGGUGUGCGCCACCACACCUGGCUUAUAGUGAGUCCUUUGUUAUAUCCUACAUGGUUACAUGGGACCACGAAAUGCAAUCUCUCUUUCUGAAUCUGAAUGUCUGCUCAUUCUCAUUCUUUUUAAUCUCUCUCUCUCUCUCUCUCUCUCUCUCUCUCUGUCUGUCUCUCUCUCUCUCGUGUGUGUGUGUGUGUGUGUGUGUAUGUGUGUGUAUGUGUGUGUGUCUGUCCAAUACCUGACAUGGUGGAUAGAUGGUAGGCCACAGGGCCUCACUGAGCAUCAGAUCUUAGUUUUGACCUUUCUUGAGGUAGGGUCUCUUGUUGUCCUUUGCAUAUGCCAGGCUAGCUGAUCCAUGAACUCCAGAUACCUCCUCUCUCUGCAGCAGCCUCCUCUCUCUGCAACAGCCUCCUCUCUCUCAGCAGCCUCCUCUCUCUGCAG